rnacentral:rRNA from 1 species
UAGUGAGUUUGAUCCUGGCUCAGGACGAACGCUGGCGGCAUGCUUAACACAUGCAAGUCGAACGACGCAGCUUGCUGCGUAGUGGCGCACGGGUGAGUAACACGUAACUGACCUACCCCGAAGUCCGGCAUAACAGUCCGAAAGGACUGGCUAAUUCAGGAUGUGAACCCACGCUAUGGCGUAGUGUUUAAAGAUUCAUCGCUAUGGGAUGGGGGUUGCGGCGCAUCAGCUCGUUGGU